UACGUAGGGGGCGAGCGUUGUCCGGAAUGAUUGUGCGUAAAGGGCGCGUAGGCGGCCCUAUAAGUCUGAAGUGAAAGUCCUGUUUUCAAGAUGGGAACUGCUUUGGAUACUGUAGAGCUUGAGUGCAGGAGAGGUAAGUGGAAUUCCCAGUGUAGCGGUGAAAUGCGUAGAGAUUGGGAGGAACACCAGUGGCGAAGGCGACUUACUGGACUGUAACUGACGCUGAGGCGCGAAAGUGUGGGGAGCAAAC
rnacentral:rRNA from 1 species